CUUUUUUCUUCUCUGUUUUUACCCUACAGGUCCAUUGUGCAUAUAUUAUGGCUUCUGGUUUAAUGUUUUUAUGGCAUUCCUGAGUGUACAAACAAGAACAUCAUAUUUGUAUUACUGCAAACGUUUCAUCAGCUGUGUUCCUCUGCCGUCAGUCUUCUGGGACCUCACAUUUAUGCUGAACAGUUGCAGAAUCGGUGUCUCCAGCUCAACCUCUCAGCCACCACUGUGUUACCUUGUGUAUUACUCUUGCCCGACCUUAGUUCAUUCUCAACGCUGAAGCCAACCUAAGUUAGUCAGUCUCACUUUUCUGCCUUCCCAUCUUACCUCAGAGUAAAAGUCAAAGCCCUUCUACUUGUUUCCACCACGAUCUGCGGCAUGCUAAAUGCGUUAUCCUCCGCUGCCUCUCUAACAAUUGUAGAACUGUCCAUACAGUCAAUCCAGUGCCAAUAAAGUUUCCUUGAAUCAAAGGACAGAGUCAGCAAUUGGCUGACGGGGAUUAGCCAUAAAGUUCUUGGAGGACUUAGGAGGGUGGCUAGAGAGGACAGGAAGAGAGGAGAGAGGAGUUCUGGGGAAUUUCUGGUGGUUUGGGGAAAAUGUAGAGAGAGGAUCAGCCAAUCACUCUGCUUUCCUUGGAUUUUUCAGGUCAUUAUCUCAAUUUCUGAUUCUCCAGAUUUUAUUAUACUGGAACAAAUCAGGUAACUGUUGCAUCUGACAGCCGCAUCUGGCGCCUGACAGGUGGCACUAUUAAACCAUGCCGAGGUGGUAAGCCCAUCACGCCACCUCCACUGCUGCCGCAGCGGCCAGCGCUCUCUCCCUUCCCACAGGCCCUCCACACCUGUUUUUCUGUUUAUCCCUUCAAUUUUUCAACAGCAGCCUUCUGCUGCUGCCCGCCUCUGGACCCAAUAUGCCUCUGGGGUUAGUCACCCCACCACCAGCCAGUGCCCUCACUUCCUGCCAUGUGGGCCUUCCUCCCCAGAAUGCCAACAACCAGUUUGAAACCAUCUUGUGGCUCAGGCUCUUACUGACGCUGCCACUGCUACAAGCUGCCAAGGGCCCGGGUGUGCCCAGUCUUGCAGUGGUAGCCAGUGGAGUAACGCCCAGUCAGCCACCCCUGCCAAUGAUGGUAGAUAGGCAUUGCUAUCCCACGCUGCAUCUCAGCCACAUGAAUUUCUCCUACUGGUUUCCUUAUGUUAGCUCUUCAGACAGCCCAUGGCACGUGAGCAGCCAUGUUGAUCUCCAGCCCAAGUGUGCAAUUCGCACAGCUCAAGGCACCCCUCUACAUACUCUACAUGCAAGCAGCAGCAAGUGCCCACAGCCUGGCCCGUGCAGCACAGAAGCAACCCGCUGAAACAACACCUGCAACCUUGCUAAUCUGGGUGCCUGGGCACUCCACUGCUACCCACCAUAGUGCCACCAGUACUGUUGGCUACCCUCCUCCCCCUCCCCUGAUCCCUGCACAUUUUGACCUACGCUGUCAGCAUCAUCAGAUAUAGUAAGACACUUGGGUAUUUUUAAACAGGGCAUUAGCAUAUUAAAAGGUGUGUGGGGGGGAGUAUUUCCCACGUUAAGAAUUGGGAAUAUCACAAUUCAGGGAGUUAGGACCCUGUUUACUGCUACUAUGGAUGGCUUGCAAAUGGAAAAAAAUAAAUGAUGGCAUAAACAACUUA